CAAUAGUAAUUUUAUUUCUGUUCUUUGUCAAUGCAGCCCACAGAACUUGAUUGCACAGUCUCAGUCUGGUACUGGGAAAACAGCUGCCUUUGUCCUAGCUAUGCUCAGCAGAGUGGAACCAGCAGACAGGUACCCUCAGUGUUUGUGCCUGUCCCCAACAUAUGAGCUGGCACUGCAAACAGGAAAAGUGAUUGAGCAGAUGGGCAGAUUUCAUCCAGAAUUGAAGCUAGCUUAUGCUGUUCGAGGCAACAAAUUGGAAAGAGGUCAGAAGGUCAGUGAGCAGAUUGUCAUUGGUACCC